CAGCAGCCGCGGUAAUGCGAAGGGUGCAAGCGUUAAUCGGAAUUACUGGGCGUAAAGCGUGCGUAGGCGGUUUGUUAAGUCUGUUGUGAAAUCCCCGGGCUCAACCUGGGAAUGGCUAUGGAUACUGGCAAGCUAGAGUGUGUCAGAGGAUGGUGGAAUUCCCGGUGUAGCGGUGAAAUGCGUAGAGAUCGGGAGGAACAUCAGUGGCGAAGGCGGCCAUCUGGGACAACACUGACGCUGAGGCACGAAAGCGUGGGGAGCAAACAGGAUUAGAUACCCCCGUAGUCCCUGUCUCUUAUAC
rnacentral:rRNA from 1 species